rnacentral:rRNA from 1 species
UACGAAGGGGGCUAGCGUUGUUCGGAUUUACUGGGCGUAAAGCGCACGUAGGCGGAUCGUUAAGUCGGGGGUGAAAUCCUGGAGCUCAACUCCAGAACUGCCUUCGAUACUGGCGAUCUUGAGUCCGGAAGAGGUGAGUGGAACUCCUAGUGUAGAGGUGGAAUUCGUAGAUAUCGGGAGGAACACCAGUGGCGAAGGCGGCUCUCUGGGCAGAUACUGACGCUGAGACG